CGUACACUGUCACCUUUUCAGUUCCCACCUUCAACAGUUUUCUUCCUCCCCUUUCCAAAACCUUCCACCCGUCCCGUUUCAACCCACCUAGCUCCGCCAUGGACUCCAUGGACAGCCCAAAGCUCGAACCCUGCACAUCUUCUCAAGAGGAAAAGCUCGCCAUCCAAGAUAACAAAUACGAUCUACUGUGCUCCGGCAGUUCAGUCAUACCUUCCAACUUUUACUGGAGGCAUUCCAUGACCGAGGAGAAGCAUAUCCAGAUCUUGGAAGACCGUGGUCUGCUACCUCCGAAGGAGGUGUAUGAUCGGAAAGCUACACCAGGUCAGGAAUUCCACAGCGAAAACACAAAAGAACUCGUGGUAUUCGUUCAUCAUUUCCGUUGUGGAUUCGGAGUUCACCCUUCCGCGUUCUUGGAACAUAUUUGCGAUUUCUACAACUUUGAAACACAUCUGCUCGUCGAACACAUCUGCUCGGGGAUCUGGUGAUCGGGCCAUUUCAACCAGGGCCUCUCCUGUUGUGACUUCCGUAACCGAAGGCCCUGUCAGAGAUCCUCCACGUUCAGGCGAUCAGGAACAACAGACGAGCACCCCGCCCCGACCUCGGCGUCGCAAAAUAGCAGUAUCCGUUCCUAGGGCACUUAAACACUCUGACAAGCAAGAAGAAAUAAGUUCGGCAGGGGCAGAACCAGGGCC